UAGCUUUCAUAGAUAGUAAAAAUUACUAAAUUUUAAUCAUAUAAUAUUACUAAAAAAAUUAAAUACUAUUUAUUAUGUUUAACGGUGUCGAUCAUCAAUCUAGACACAUUAUUACUGGAAUCGACACAUAAUUAAACUUUUCUGUUUAUCUCAUAGAAAAUAUUAUAGUCAAAGCAUUUUGUUUAGUUUUUAAUAAAUCCUAAACCUUAAACUUAUGAAGGUGGUAAGAUUUACAUCUUAGCGGUAAAAUUUAUAGAAAGAUAAAAGAA
rnacentral:lncRNA from 1 species